rnacentral:misc_RNA from 1 species
UAGAGGAGCCAUCAGUCAAAAUC